UAAAAAGCUCGUAGUUGGAUCUGUGUCCCGGAUGGUCGGUGCGCCGCUCGCGGUGUCUUCACUGACUCUUCCGGACGUCCUGCCGGUGGACCGUCCGUCGGCCCCCCUCGGGGGGUUCGCGCGGGCGGCCCUGACUCCCUCCGCGCUGCUCUUAACCGAGCGGUUCGGUGGGCCGGCAAGUUUACUUUGAACAAAUUUGAGUGCUCAAAGCAGGCGGCAAGUCGCCUGAAAACUGUGUGCAUGGAAUAAUGGAAUAGGACUUCGGUUCUAUUUUGUUGGCUUUUCUGAACCCGAAGUAAUGAUUAAUAGGGACAGACGGGGGCAUUCGUAUUGCGACGUUAGAGGUGAAAUUCUUGGAUCGUCGCAAGACGGACGGAUGCGAAAGCGUUUGCCAAGAAUGUUUUCGCUAAUCAAGAACGAAAGUUAGAGGUUCGAAGGCGAUCAGAUACCGCCCUAGUUCUAACCAUAAACGAUGCCAGCCAGCGAUGCGCCCGAGUUCCUCCGAUGACUGGGCGCGCAGCUUCCGGGAAACCAAAGCUUUUGGGUUCCGGGG
rnacentral:rRNA from 2 species